AGUGAACGCUGGCGGCAGGCCUAACACAUGCAAGUCGAACGGCAGCACAGGAGAGCUUGCUCUCUGGGUGGCGAGUGGCGGACGGGUGAGGAAUACAUCGGAAUCUACCUUUUCGUGGGGGAUAACGUAGGGAAACUUACGCUAAUACCGCAUACGACCUUAGGGUGAAAGCGGAGGACCUUCGGGCUUCGCGCGGAUAGAUGAGCCGAUGUCGGAUUAGCUAGUUGGCGGGGUAAAGGCCCACCAAGGCGACGAUCCGUAGCUGGUCUGAGAGGAUGAUCAGCCACACUGGAACUGAGACACGGUCCAGACUCCUACGGGAGGCAGCAGUGGGGAAUAUUGGACAAUGGGCGCAAGCCUGAUCCAGCCAUGCCGCGUGGGUGAAGAAGGCCUUCGGGUUGUAAAGCCCUUUUGUUGGGAAAGAAAAGCAGCCGGUUAAUACCCGGUUGUUCUGACGGUACCCAAAGAAUAAGCACCGGCUAACUUCGUGCCAGCCGCCGCCGUAACAC
rnacentral:rRNA from 1 species